UCUCAGGUGUUGCCUGGCUUGUGUGCCCU
rnacentral:piRNA from 1 species